GAAGCACCGGCUAACUCCGUGCCAGCAGCCGCGGUAAUACGGAGGGUGCGAGCGUUUAAUCGGAAUUACUGGGGCGUAAAGCGCAUGCAGGUGGUUUGUUAAGUCAGAUGUGAAAGCCCGGGGCUCAACCUCGGAAUUGCAUUUUGAAACUGGCAAACUAGAGUACUGUAGAGGGGGGUAGAAUUUCAGGUGUAGCGGUGAAAUGCGUAGAGAUCUGAAGGAAUACCGGUGGCGAAGGCGGCCCCCCUGGACAGAUACUGACACUCAGAUGCGAAAGCGUGGGGGAGCAAACAGGAUUACAUACCCUGGUAG
rnacentral:rRNA from 1 species